GACGAACGCUGGCGGCGUGCUUAACACAUGCAAGUCGAACGAAGAGCGAUGGAAGCUUGCUUCCAUCAAUCUUAGUGGCGCACGGGUGAGUCACGCGUAUUCAACCCGCCCUUCAGUGGGGGACCACAGUUGGAAACGAGUGCUAAUGCCGCAUACGAUCUGACCUCGGCAUCGAGGAGAGAUGAAAGGUGGUCUCUAUUCAUAUGCUAUCACUGACGCAGGGGAUUGCGUCUGAUUAGCUAGGUGGUGGGGUAACGGACCACCAAGGCGAGACUCAGUAGCCGGUCUGGGAGGAGGGACGGCCACAUUGGGACUGGGACACGGCCCAGACUCCUACGGGGGGGAGCAGGGAGGAAUCUUUCGCAAUGGACGAAAGUCUGACGGAGCAACGCCGGGUGAGUGAUGACAGCCUUCGGGUUGGAAAGCUCUGGUAAUCGGGGCGGAAGGCCUGCGUGCGAAUAGUUAGAAGGAUUGACGGUACCGGAAUAGAAAGCCACGGCUAACUACGUG
rnacentral:rRNA from 1 species